rnacentral:rRNA from 1 species
GAUGAACGCUGGCGGCGUGCCUAAUACAUGCAAGUCGAGCGAAUGGAUUAAGAGCUUGCUCUUAUGAAGUUAGCGGCGGACGGGUGAGUAACACGUGGGUAACCUGCCCAUAAGACUGGGAUAACUCCGGGAAACCGGGGCUAAUACCGGAUAACAUUUUGAACCGCAUGGUUCGAAAUUGAAAGGCGGCUUCGGCUGUCACUUAUGGAUGGACCCGCGGCGCAUUACCGAGUUGGUGAGGUAACGGCUCACCAAGGCAACGAUGCGUAGUCGACCUGAGAGGGUGAUCGGCCACACUGGGACUGAGACACGGCCCAGACUCCUACGGGAGGCAGCAGUAGGGAAUCUUCCGCAAUGGACGAAAGUCUGACGGAGCAACGCCGCGUGAGUGAUGAAGGCUUUCGGGUCGUAAAACUCUGUUGUUAGGGAAGAACAAGUGCUAGUUGAAUAGGCUGGCACCUUGACGGUACCUAACCAGAAAGCCACGGCUAACUACGUGCCAGCAGCCGCGGUAA